CAUGCAAGUCGAACGAGGUCUUCGGACCUAGUGGCGCACGGGUGAGUAACAUGUGGGAAUCUACCUGAAGGUUCGGAAUAACUGCGGGAAACUGUAGCUAAUACCGGAUGUGUCUGCAAAGAGAAAGAUUUAUCGCCUUCAGAUGAGCCCGCACUAGAUUAGCUAGUUGGUGAGGUAAUUGCUCCACCAAGGCUACGAUCUAUAGCUGAUUUGAGAGGAUGAUCAGCCACACUGGGACUGAGACACGGCCCAGACUCCUACGGGAGGCAGCAGUAGGGAAUAUUGGACAAUGGGGGAAACCCUGAUCCAGCAAUGCCGCGUGAGUGAAGAAGGCCUUCGGGUUGUAAAACUCUUUCAUCAAUGAUGAUAAUGACAUUAGUUGAAGAAGAAGCUCCGGCUAACUUCGUGCCAGCAGCCGCGGUAAUACGAAGGGGGCUAGCGUUGUUCGGAAUCACUGGGCGUAAAGCGUAUGUAGGCGGAUCAAAAAGUUAGAUGUGAAAUCCCUGGGCUCAACCCAGGAACUGCAUUUAAAACUAGUGAUCUAGAAUUUGGUAGGGGUUAGUAGAAUUUCCAGUGUAGAGGUGAAAUUCGUAGAUAUUGGAAAGAAUACCAGUGGCGAAGGCGACUAACUGGGCCAUUUUUGACGCUAAGAUACGAAAGCGUGGGUAGCAAACAGGAUUAGAUACCCUGGUAGUCCACGCAGUAAACGAUGAGUGCUAGUCGCUGGGACAAUAGUUUCAGUGUCGUAGCUAACGCAUUAAGCACUCCGCCUGGGAAGUACGGUCGCAAGAUUAAAACUCAAAUAAAUUGACGGGGGCCCGCACAAGCGGUGGAGCAUGUGGUUUAAUUCGAAGCAACGCGAAGAGCCUUACCAGACCUUGACAUGUGUGUAUGAUUACAGAUCGUACUUCUUCAGUCGGCUGCACACACACAGUGCUGCAUGCUGUCGUCAGCUCGUGUCGUGAGAUGUGGGUAGUCGCACGAGCGCAUCUCAUUUUAGUGCAUCAGUUAUGCUGGCACUCUAAAAACUGCGUGAUAGCUGAGAAGGCGGGAUGACGUCAGUCUCAUGGCAUUACGCUGGCUACCACUGCUACAUGGUGGUGACAGGGGCAGCUAUCUGCAGUAAGCUAAUUCAAAACCUCCCUUCGAUUGACUCGCACUCGGUCUUGAGGUGGAAUGCCCGAAAUCCUAAAAUAACA
rnacentral:rRNA from 1 species